AUUGAACGCUGGCGGCAGGCUUAACACAUGCAAGUCGAGCGGGGGAAGGUAGCUUGCUACUGGACCUAGCGGCGGACGGGUGAGUAAUGCUUAGGAAUCUGCCUAUUAGUGGGGGACAACAUCUCGAAAGGGAUGCUAAUACCGCAUACGUCCUACGGGAGAAAGCAGGGGAUCUUCGGACCUUGCGCUAAUAGCUGAGCCUAAGUCGGAUUAGCUAGUUGGUGGGGUAAAGGCCUACCAAGGCGACGAUCUGUAGCGGGUCUGAGAGGAUGAUCCGCCACACUGGGACUGAGACACGGCCCAGACUCCUACGGGAGGCAGCAGUGGGGAAUAUUGGACAAUGGGGGGAACCCUGAUCCAGCCAUGCCGCGUGUGGGAAGAAGGCCUUAUGGUUGUAAAGCACUUUAAGCGAGGAGGAGGCUACUUUAGUUAAUACCUAGAGAUAGUGGACGUUACUCGCAGAAUAAGCACCGGCUAACUCUGUGCCAGCCGCCGCCGUAA
rnacentral:rRNA from 1 species